UACGGAGGGGGCUAGCGUUGUUCGGAAUUACUGGGCGUAAAGCGCGCGUAGGCGGCUUUGUAAGUUAGAGGUGAAAGCCCGGAGCUCAACUCCGGAACUGCCUUUAAGACUGCAUCGCUAGAACGUCGGAGAGGUAAGUGGAAUUCCGAGUGUAGAGGUGAAAUUCGUAGAUAUUGGGAAGAACACCAGUGGCGAAGGCGGCUAACUGGUCCAGAUCUGACGCUGAGGUGCGAAAGCGUGGGGAGCAAACAGG
rnacentral:rRNA from 1 species